GAUACCAAAAUCCAAUUUGGAUAUUAAAAUGGUGAAAGUUUUAAGUCAAGUUAGAGGGAGGGCAAUUUUAGAAGAACAAGUGUGUUUAUUUAACACUACAUAGAAUUGCAUCAAGGAGAAGAGCAUUACGACAGCCGUUGCGCUCAGCCAUGCGCUACAAUGCAUUUGGUGGCAUAGUUUUUUGUCCAGAGCAAUGCGUCCAUAAUUGUAGCAAUGCACUAGUACGCGUCCCAUAAGCUCUAUUUAAGCUAAAACCACAUAUUUUUGCAAGGGUUCUAACAGAGGAGGCAUUGG
rnacentral:lncRNA from 1 species